UACCCUGAACGGUGGAUCACUUGGCUCGUGGGUCGAUGAAGAACGCAGCUAAUUGCGCGUCAACUUGUGAACUGCCAGGACACAUGAACAUCGACAUUUCGAACGCACAUUGCGGUCCACGGAUACAAUUCCCGGACCACGCCUGGCUGAGGGUCG
rnacentral:rRNA from 1 species